rnacentral:rRNA from 1 species
GCCCCCCUCCAGGGCCUAUCUGCAGUCGAGCGGACAGAUGGGAGCUUGCUCCCUGAUGUUAGCGGCGGACGGGUGAGUAACACGUGGGUAACCUGCCUGUAAGACUGGGAUAACUCCGGGUAAACCGGGGCUAAUACCGGAUGGUUGUUUGAACCGCAUGGUUCAAACAUAAAAGGUGGCUUCGGCUACCACUUACAGAUGGACCCGCGGCGCAUUAGCUAGUUGGUGAGGUAACGGCUCACCAAGGCAACGAUGCGUAGCCGACCUGAGAGGGUGAUCGGCCACACUGGGACUGAGACACGGCCCAGACUCCUACGGGAGGCAGCAGUAGGGAAUCUUCCGCAAUGGACGAAAGUCUGACGGAGCAACGCCGCGUGAGUGAUGAAGGUUUUCGGAUCGUAAAGCUCUGUUGUUAGGGAAGAACAAGUACCGUUCGAAUAGGGCGGUACCUUGACGGUACCUAACCAGAAAGCCACGGCUAACUACGUGCCAGCAGCCGCGGUAAUACGUAGGUGGCAAGCGUUGUCCGGAAUUAUUGGGCGUAAAGGGCUCGCAGGCGGUUUCUUAAGUCUGAUGUGAAAGCCCCCGGCUCAACCGGGGAGGGUCAUUGGAAACUGGGGAACUUGAGUGCAGAAGAGGAGAGUGGAAUUCCACGUGUAGCGGUGAAAUGCGUAGAGAUGUGGAGGAACACCAGUGGCGAAGGCGACUCUCUGGUCUGUAACUGACACUGAGGAGCGAAAGCGUGGGGAGCGAACAGGAUUAGAUACCCUGGUAGUCCACGCCGUAAACGAUGAGUGCUAAGUGUUAGGGGGUUUCCGCCCCUUAGUGCUGCAGCUAACGCAUUAAGCACUCCGCCUGGGGAGUACGGUCGCAAGACUGAAACUCAAAGGAAUUGACGGGGGGCCCGCACAAGCGGUGGAGCAUGUGGUUUAUUUCGAAGCAACGCGAGAAACUUACCAGUCUUGACAUCCUCUGACAUCCUAGAGAUAGACGUCCCUUCGGAGCAGAAUGAACAGUGGUGCAUGGUUGUCGUCAGCUCUGUCCUGAGAUGUGGGUAGUUCCGCAACAGAGCGCAAACCUGUACUAAUUGGCAGCAUCAUGGUCCUAAGUACUGCGGUUCAACCGAGAAAGGUGGGAUACCUAAAUCAUCAUGG